rnacentral:rRNA from 1 species
GUGGGGAAUAUUGGACAAUGGGGGGAACCCUGAUCCAGCCAUGCCGCGUGUGUGAAGAAGGCCUUUUGGUUGUAAUGCACUUUAAGCGAGGAGGAGGCUACCGAGAUUAAUACUCUUGGAUAGUGGACGUUACUCGCAGAAUAAGCACCGGCUAACUCUGUGCCAGCAGCCGCGGUAAUACAGAGGGUGCAAGCGUUAAUCGGAUUUACUGGGCGUAAAGCGCGCGUAGGUGGCCAAUUAAGUCAAAUGUGAAAUCCCCGAGCUUAACUUGGGAAUUGCAUUCGAUACUGGUUGGCUAGAGUAUGGGAGAGGAUGGUAGAAUUCCAGGUGUAGCGGUGAAAUGCGUAGAGAUCUGGAGGAAUACCGAUGGCGAAGGCAGCCAUCUGGCCUAAUACUGACACUGAGGUGCGAAAGCAUGGGGAGCAAACAGGAUUAGAAACCCGGGUAGUCC